rnacentral:lncRNA from 1 species
GGGGAAUACACUAUGGAUUUCUCAAUUACCCUAUCAUUUACCCAUCUCACUUCACUUUGUCGCGUUAUUUUGCCCUUUGUCUCUCUCUAAAUUUCGUAUCCCUCUCCAUACAACACACAAAUCUACAAUCGAUCGACCUAGCCCUCUUCUACAAGAUCCUUUUGGCGCACGAUUAAGGUUCAAUUCAGGUAAUAAUCCUAUGCAAUCGGUCAACCUAUCCCUUUUAGGUAACGAUUUCGAACAUGAUAUUUUCUUCAAUUUGUAAAUUAUACCUGCUGAAUUUUUUGUACGAGUAUAUGGUUGUAUGAAUCUGCCCUAACAGUUUCCUUCAUCUUGCCAAAUUAGCUCUCUACCUUGUUUGAAUCGUAGUUUUUUUUUCUCUUCAUCUGUCUUUAAUAGUAGAGAAUUUUGAACUUUGUUGUUCAUUAUUUUUAGGGCUUUUUAGAACUUUUUGAACAUUCAGUGUGGGGUAGGAUUUUGAAUUUUGUUCAAAGUGUUGUUGCCUUUAAUUUACUACUGUUUUUAAGGUAAAUAUCUUACUAAUGUGUACUUGUUUCUUUAAUUUACUGAGGGUUUAAAAAUUAUCUUAGUGUUGGUUUUGGCUUCUUAAAUAUUGCAAGCUAGGUGUUUGUUAAAAUAACUUAAAGAAUCAAAAAUCUAGCAUCUUGUCAUUUCUAUGUGCAUAUACUUUUUAGGAUGCAAGUAAGAAAAUCUGCUGUAAUGCCACAAAAUUAAUAAAUUUAUUAUGCUGACAGAUAAAAUGAUGAUGUUCAAUGUCCACUAUAAUUUGGGGCAAUUUUUUUUAACUAUUAGUCUGUAGGAAUAUCUUAAAAUUGAAAUUAUAGCUCCGCAAACUUGCUCCAUAUGAUUCUUGCACUCUAAAACGCUUUUGUAGAGGCCAUGGUGGUAUUUAAAGGCAAUGUAUAUUUGAGGAGCCAAGCCCACAACCUUCUUACAAUAUAAGCCCGGAUGGUCAUCCACAUGAUAGAGAAUAUUACCUCAUAUCCCUUUUUGUUGUUCCUAGGCAUUUUUAUUUGAUAUAGUGCAUGUUGACAGUUGUGAUAUGGUGCAUGUUGAUAGUUGUGAAUGUAUUAAAAUAAUUGACAAAGUUGGAUUGCCUGUUUGAUGCACUAGUAAAGUGUCUUGUCUGCUCUAUUCGAGGAAAUAAAAUCUUCAAUAUAUGUGAAAUAGUCAGAGACUCGGAACAAACAAGAAUCUCCCCUGCAUUUUAGCUGAUAACAGGACUUCUUUUCUUAAAUAGUUAGCUAGCCUUGUUUUCAAGGUCUAUGCGUCCCAUAAUCUUUAGUAUCGUUAUUAAUGUGUGCUUGUUUAUAAAAUUUUUCAACAUUAUAAUAUUGAAGCAAGCGAGCCUACUAAUCUGCAACUUUGACUUAUUGUUUAUACCAUACUCUGUUUUUUCCAAGUCAUUUUGUAAUGAACCAAAGACCGCUGGAAGGAUGUUUUAUGAUCUUGAGCUGUUGAAAAUUGUUCUUUCUGAAGAAGCUUGUUAAUAAUGUUGUUCUAUUGCUUACCUUUAUAAGUUUUGUGGUAUAUCUUUAAAUUAUCUGGUAAUUAGUCACCUUUUUUCAAGCAGAUUAUACCAUGAAUUUUUGAAAUCUUUUUGACAGAGUCGACCGAACCCCAUUGUCAGUUCGUCAUAGCCGCCUCAUUUAUAUUUCUGAUUUUGCUAUAGACAUUUUCAGUGUUAGUUCAACUUAUCUUAAGCAAUCCAAACUAUUCCCCAAUAAGUGUUUGAUUUCUAAUAUCCUAAUAUUUUGUUUCUGUUCAACUGAUUUUGUAGUAGCAGUUGAUAGAUACUUUGAAGGCCCAGUUUGUUGCUUACCAAGUACUUCAUAAGGAGUUAGCAGCGAAGUUGACCAAAUUGACAGAAUUAGUUGAGAAUCAACAGGUACAAAAAGGGCAAGUUAUUGAUGUUGAAGUUUAUGUUUUUAUUUCAAUUUUGUUCAUUAAAAAUUAUUAAUAACACAAAAAUUGGAUAAUAAACUUUAGUUUCCUCUCCAGCUUUUUAAUUAUUUUUUGAAAUUACUAUCCUUUUUUAUUUUCUUAGUCUUGAGGGUGAGUAUAGUUUUUUUUGGAACAAUGAAACUUGGCUUUAAGGCACUUCCUAGCAAUAUCAAGGCACUUUUAGCUGCACAUGAUGAUUCAUCAAGAAUUGACCAGUGGAGCAUUUCAGGCCUUCGGACACCAAAGUAUAAUAUUUCAACUCUAAAAAUGAAGCUUGCAGAAGAUGAUAACUUGGAUGUGAACUAUGCUGAUGAUAUAAUUUUAUUUAAUUGUUGAAAAUAAAAAUUUUAUUUUAAAUAAUAAUUUGUAUGUUAUUUGCAAUACAAAAUAUAAGACUUUUUUUGUUGAAUAGAUCACAAAUGCUAGAGUGACACUUCUUUGUUCUGCAAUUUGUUUAUUUAAAUUUGUUCUUAGUUAAUUUAUGACAUCCUAAAAUUCAAAUUAUAAUGUCAAUUUAUUUAUUGUUUUCAAAUAUUAAUUUUAUUUUUAAAAUACUUCUUAAAUAAUAUAAAUAUCAAUAUCAAUGUAAAAGGUUAAACGAUGUCGUGGGUUAACAGCGGUGUGAUACAAAUUGUUUUUUUCCUCUUUCUUAAAUAGUCCAAAUCUGUCGUUUGCUUUUUUGUUUCAGAUAGAAAGACAAGUUCAUUCUCUUUUUAUUCUUCAAUCGAUCCCACCGCCUAGCUUCGCUCGCCUCUCGUGUCCUCCAUCACAGGUUCAUGUCCCUUUUCUCUCUCCUCUAUCUCAUACAUCUAUCCUCUGAAAUUGAUUUUCAUUUUCUAGGAUAAUUUUUUUCUUUUGCUGCUCUCUUUCAAUUCAGUAAGACAUCUAAUAUCAGUUUAUUUAUUUGUAAUUUUUCACUUGGUUCAUCCAUUUGUGCUCAAUCAAAUCUGAUUUUGGUUAUAUGUGGUGAUUUUGGUGCUCAGUCAAUUUUAAUUUUGGAUAUAUGUGCACCAAAUGUUUGAUGUAUUGUCCAUCUGUUGCACUAGCUUGUACAUUAUAGCUACAAAUUUAAUGUCAGCAUAACCCUCCCAAUUUUAAAUUUAAGUAUAAACUUAAUCCAUUUCAUUUGGAUACUCUGAACCAUGUUUUGGAAUUGAUUUGUCUAAUGUGAACUUUUAUUUGUAAAACUCUAUAUGCCCAAACUUAAUUAUGAAGCAGACGUUUGGUUGACCAUAAAUUUGUAAUUGUUUCAGCUUUUUAAAUGUAAAUAUCUAAUUCUUUGUUAUUAUAUUAUUAAUUAUACAACUUUAACAUUCUUUAACAUUAUAUACACCCGGAGAACUUGAAUGGUGCAUAACAUGUACCUUUUUGUUUAAAUGCCAAAAAGAGGGUAGACACCUAUAUUUUAACAAACUAUGUUUUACUAAUUAAGCUUAAUCUCUAAUUGGAGUUGGGUCCAGUUUACAAUUUAUAAAGUCUUUCGAAAACAAAAGGUGAGGUGACUAAUGUUUUUUUAACAUUUAUAAUUGCAAGCUUCUUAAGUUAAUUAACAUAUGGAUUUUAAUUUUGGAAAGAGGAAUGAGUUUUUGGCAAUAUCCUGUUAGCAAAUUAAUGUGUAUUCAUGCUUUCCUCUUAAAUUUUUCUUUUUAAUUGUUGUUUACUAAUUGAAUUACUAUACAGAAUGAGUUGAGAUUUCAGUUGUUCUGGUCUCCCAUUCAUUGUCUCUCUGUCUCUUGUAAGUUGCGACGUAGAACCAUUUUGUUAGCUCUAUAAAGUUCGUAAGUGAUGUUUCUCAUUUUUCAGGUUGUUGGUUAUUAUAGACUGAGCAGCCUUAAUAGUUCUAUUUUGCUUAGUGUAUGCUCUUUUUUUUGCUACGAUUACGUCUUUAUUCUCAUGUCGAAGUGUACAUUGGAAUGAUGUCAAACACUUUGAUGAGUGAAUAUGCAUUACAUUCAACACAAGUACAUGCAUAAAGUAAAAUAUCCGGCAAUUUUAUUAUUAUGUAGAGAAUAUUUUUGUCAUGAUAGCAACUGCUAAAAUAGAGUAUGCAUGUGCUCUCAUCUCAUCAGCAUCGUAUCAAGCUUUUUUUAUUAUUUAUAAUUCUAGUGACUUUAUAGGUCAGUGUGACAUACCCAUAUUCAACUGUGCUACAACAUAAUCUCACGACUAUAAACACAUGAUGAGUUGAAACUAGAAUAGAAAAUAAUCAAUACCGGGAAAAAUUGUAUGGUUAGCUACAAUCCAAUUUCAGAUCAAAGCUGAUGUGAAUGUGUAUUUCUCUCAAUCAGAUAUAUUCCUUCCUCUCUGCAUUAUGGAACUCUGUUUAUCUCUAUUUUUCUCGAAUUAAUUACUAUUUUUCCCAUCUUUGCACUAGAAGGGAUCAACGAUCUGGUGGGUUGAUGGUUUUUUUUAAAGAUUGUGUAGAAAGUUCAUUAACCCUCUAUUCUAAUGUUUUUAAUUGAUUUGAUGGGUUACUCCCUGCUCAACUUAGCUUUGGGCUUUAUGUUUAUGCCGAGUAGAACGUCAAGUACUCUCAAUUUAUGUUCUUUAUCUUUUACAGAUCUUAUUCUCUACAUGCAUGUUGGGUCGUAGUUCUUUGCAGUUCAUUUAAUUGGAGUGUACCAAUAUUUUUAUUUUUGUAAACUGUGUAGAGGAUUCCUAGUUUGACUUAAACAUGUUUAAGCAUCAACUUUAGUUUAAGCCUUUAAUGUCAUAAUUCCCAACUUUCAAGUGUCUUUUUGCAAGUUACUCAACAUUAAAGCAAUUGAAGUGCACUUAAUUAUUCAUUUACUAUUUAAUUCAUGGUGUUACAGAUGGUUGUGAAAGGGAUUGCUAAAGACUUCACGAAUAAUGAAAAUAUCAACUUCGAGGAAAAUUGGCCCAAUAUACCCUCUCCGGUUUGAGUUUAAGGGUUUUGAUAUUUCAACUUUUUAUUCUAUAAAAUACUUUUUUAGUUUUGAGGUUUUGAGCACAUAAGUUUCUUGGGAUUGUGUUAUAGUACUCUUACUUGCUUACACUUGUUCACCAAUUACCGAAAAUAGAUAGCUGCAUGAUUUAGGAAUUAGACUAUUGAUAAUGAUUAUGCUGACUACGUCUGCUUCUAGAGAUUGAGAACGAGUGUCAAACAAAAGGAAAAAACUUGGAGAUGUUAAAGUUAUUUUGGAACUGCAUUAUUGAUAGUGAUUACACUGGCUACAUCUAAGUUCUGGUGAUAUACUAUGUUCGUUGCAGAACAAUUAGCAAUGCUCAUUACGCAACAAAAGACGCAACGACAGUGAAGUCGUUGCCAAAACCCUUUUGCAACGAAAUUUGGCACCUUUAGCAACAAAAAUUGGUUGUUGCUGAAGUCCCAUUUUUUUGUAGUGCAUUUACUCUAAGACCUCAUUCACGUGUAUUUCAAAAUGGCUAGCCUAUGUUCUUCAUUUUCUUCCAACUCCCAAGCUCAUGAUCAUGAGGGAGUGAUGAUUAUGAUGAGUUCCAACAAUCAAUCUAACAACUCCUCCAUAACCUUCAUGCAAUCCUACAAUCCAUGGGUUUGAUUCAAUGGAAAAUUUCUAUGUCUGUGUAUUGAUUUUUCUAUAAAUAAGAGCUCCUUCCAUUUUUCCAAGUGUUGAGAAUUGCUAAGUGAGAGUUGAGAGCAUACAAGUAAUCUAGAGCUUGAGAGUUCAUUAGGAGCAAGUUCAUUGUAAUUAUAAAGGUAUAAAAUUCCUUCUUAUUCUUCAUUUUCAGUUUCUGUUAAAUUUCCAUUCUUGAAAUUCAAAUUCUUGAUUUUGUGGAAUUGGUUGCUAAUGAGGUUGGGUAAUGUCCAUAUAGUUGUUAUAUGACCAUAUAAGCAUGAUGCAACUGAUAUAUGAUGGUUUAAAAUCGAAAUCAUGAGUAAUUUUUGAGGUUGGGCUGGAGUUCUGCCGAAGCAGACUGCUUCUGCGCCUGAAUCAGGCAUGACGCAGCUACGCCACAUUUGUAUUGAGGCGCAUCGCAACUGCGCCGGUUGCUGAAUUCAGUUGAGCAGUCAAUUUUCAAAUCUGAUCAAUAUUGGCUAGUUGUUUUGACUCAAGCUAGCAUGUAAGCAUGUGUAUGAUGUAUAUAUGGAUACGUUAACCUAAUGUGAGCAUGUUUAGACUAGACUUGCAUGAUUAACGAAGGCGUAUGAUUUACAUGGAGAUUUAGACUAAGUUUUGAAAACAAACUAUGUUAAAUAUCAUGUUCUACAAAUUGUGAACCUAGUAAGCUAUGCAUGACUAAUUUUGCACAUAGAUGAGUAUGUUGUAGUGUAUAUAGUUCUUUUGAGCAUGUUCAAACUUACUAAGCCUUAUGUUAGAAAUAUUUUCAAUAAGAAGCUUAGCCUAGUGAGCUAACAUGCAUGAUUUUUAAAUGGUUUAUAUUUUGACUUUGAAAGCAUGUGAGUAUGACUUGGAAAUGCAUGAAUAAACCUUUAGCUUAUUUUUAUUUGAUUAGUAAGGAAACAUGAGCAUGUUGAACCUAUUAGCAAAGCUUUGAAUGUGAAUAUUGUCAAGAUACCAUGAGGACUAAAAUCUGACAUUUGUGAUCAUGUUUGAUGACACUCUUAGACUCGCUCAUGUAGCAUAACCAUAUAUAUACCAUGUUUGUGUAGCACAUUUCAAGAAAAGCAUGAACGAAGCCUAUUUUCAACUAAAGCGGUGUUAGUUUCAUGUAUGUGUUAUAAAUACACACAAGCAUGCCUAAUAUGAGUUUUUUUUAAAUAUCUUGUAUGUUUAGAAAGCAAGCAUGCUAGACCUUGUGAAUUCAUGACUUUGAAUGGCCUUAAAUUGUUAAAAUGAGCAACUUAGAACCAUGUUAUGAAAGAAGGAACCUAGAUUGACUUAAGGAGCAUGAAAAGACCUUUAACAUGAUAAAUAUAUUAUGUGUUAUUGUUUUGGUUGAGCUGGAGAGAAACCACAAGGCAGCAGCUGAGUCUUGGAAUGACCAUAGGACGACGCAGCUGCGCCGGUCCUAGGCUUAGCCAUGGCGCAACUGCGCCAGUCUGGAAUCCCAGAUAGUGAAUUCUGACUUUUGGACAGCAACUUUCAUGAUGCCUAUGAUGCUAAAUGUGAUCUAAAACCUACUGAUGUAUAUAUAUAUGAGUGAUGCCUAGUUGAUAAUUCGGUGUUGCAUUGAAAUGAAAAGUCCAUGAGUAGGAGGUCUUAACCUUGAGCAUUCUUGAUUUGCUUGUGAAGUAACUAAGUAGUUGAUUCAUGAUGACUUAUAAACUGAUUUUGUACCAUAUGUGCAUACUUGUAUCGUGUCGAGCUUGAUUAAGGACGAUGUUAGCUAAUGAACACUGUAUAUUUAUAAUACGUUAUACUAGGAUUCUAAAGUGUUGAUUUAUUAACGUGGAUAAACUACGCUUAAGGCAAGUUUCUCUAACAUUACUCAAAUUUAUAUUGAGCAAGUAUCCGAACCUUACUCUUAUUGUGCAAGUAUAAUUACAUUCUUUAUUCGACAAAUACCGUAAGCUUAUCCCUUUGAAUACAAGUUAUAUUACUUUCUCGUUCAAAUGAGCUAGUAUUUUAAACCCUUAUGAAAGCUGUUAUUCAUGUUGAACUUGGUAUUGUCCAUUGAAUAUUGUGAAAGAGUCGAUGUCAUUUGAUUCGGCUAGACUAUAUGCAUGUUUAUAAAAAAAAACUGUCCAAACCAAUUAAGUGGUGCGAAAAUCUUGAAAACUAAGUUGAACAACCCCUUUGGUAAAGGGAGUGUAUGUCGUUGGAAACCCCAACACAUGAAUGAAUAUUAUUGUGGUGUUAUGCAUAACGUAUAGUAUUGUAGAUUGAUCAUCUAUAGUACUUGAUAUUUUAAGGUUAUCAGUUUAAUAUUGGUAACUCUAGUGGAAGUUCAAUAGUCCUUAGUGACUGCUCAGUAUAAAUUGUUAUCCAGUUGGAUACCUUGAUAGUCGUUGAAUUCAUAUAUAUUUGUUGAUUUAUAUUGAAUUAUCGUUCUUAUUCAAAGAAUUGUUGAUAUUUCUUACCCAUGAUGUUAUUCUGAUACUUUGAACUAUCCUAGAAAUGGCACUCCGAUAUUUCAAACCUUAUGAUAUUAUAUCCUAUACCCUUGUUGUAUAUUACUUGUUGGACAAUUUGUGCUCAUCCUUGCUUUUAAAAAAACCUUUCAGUUAAGGCAGAACAGGGAAGUGUAUCCGGGCAGGACAAGGGCAAGGGCAAGGCUACCGACUAGCUUGUCCUUUUUAUGUUCAAAGUCUAUUAUGUUGUAUUAAGACUAUUUCAGACUAUGUUUAAGCUUAAGUAGGAUCAUGUAAUAAGUCUUUAUUAGAUAUUAUUAUGUAAUCUAUUAAGCACUGUAGGUUACGAGACUUGGGGGAAUAAUUAUAAUAAAUUAUUGUAUAUUAUUUUAAAGUAGAUUUUUCGUUGUGUAUGCGUUAUUUUAGAUAUUGUGGUUUUACCAUGAGAACGUGAUGAACCGAAUUUGAGGGACCAAGUGGAGGUCCGAAUUUGGGGGUGUCACAGGUUGGUAUCAAAGCUAUAGUUAUAAACUUUAGGAACGAGAGUCCUUAGAUUAUAACUUAAGAAAACUUAGAGGUUAGGAAGGGAUAAAAAUCACGUAGAGUUUUCCCAAAGAGACUUAACGUGUUAUGAAAUGUAACUUCAUUCUAUACAAUGAACUUAUGUUUAUUUAACAUUCUGAUGGAGUUGUUUUUUGUCUUGUCUUAUGUUGGUGAUUGUAG